GAGCAUAAAUGUUCUCGCAUUUCCAGACAAUUAUCAUUUUGAGCGGUACCGUUUCGUAAUCGUUUCAAGUCCAUAAUCUACAUAAACAACCUAAUCCGUCCUUACAUUUACAUUACCAACCAGUCAUGCUCUCACAUCCAGCAGAUAUUGUGUGUUGCGCUGCGGUUCUUUGCAAAUGGAAGUUUUUAUAUGAUGUCGGAGAUGCAGAGUAAGACAACUGUAUGGAGGACAGUCAGAAAGGUUUUCCUGGCUCUGAAACGACUUUUACCAUCAUUGUGGACACAAACCUGUCAGAGCAUCAAGGAGGAGCUCCACAGGAUUGCAGGUGAAUGAUGUAGAGAUCUGUUACAUUCAUUUUAAAUCAUAUUCUGUUCAUGACAUUGUGCUGCAGCCUCAGACUGGGAUUAGUCAUUUGAAUUUCUUUUAGGAUUUCCCAGUGUGAUUGGCUGCAUAGAUGCACACACAUCCCCAUCACAGCUCCCUCACAUCAUGAACAGGAAGUCCAUUCACAGCAUAAAUGUGCAGGUAGGCUACAGGUAGACUGACUACUGUUUCUAAAUGUUAAAGACUGCAUCAUAGUUCAACAUCUGUCAUUCUCUGCACUGUCCAGAUCAUAUGUGAUGCUGCAUACAUCAUUUCUAAUGUGGAGGCCACGUGGUCUGGGUCUGUUCAUGACUCCAGGAUUUAUGGAGAGUCUAACCUGAGCAACAGACUGCAGCAUGGAGAGUUUGAUGUCCUUCUGCUGGGUGACAGGGGUUACCAUGACAACCCAGGCUGAUGACCUCAUACCCUGACCCUGAACCAGGCCCCCAACAGAACUUCAACCGGGCUCACUGCAGGACCAGAGCCCUGGUGGAGAUGACCAUAGGCCUGCUGAAAGCCCGUUUCCAGAGCCUACGUCUCCUCAGGGUGACCCCUGAGAGGGCCUGUGAUAUUACUGUGGCAUGUGUUGUUCUUCAUAAUAUUACCACUAUUAGAGGAGAGCAACACCCUGCCCUACAAACUGAAGACCCAGAUGAUGAGCCCAUCCACCUGCAGCUAUCCAGGACAGCAGAGCAGUCAGAGACACCGUAUGCAAGAAUCACUUUAGAGUUUAAGUCUCCAUCAUCACCACCACAGCAAAUAAAGACAUGAUACACAUUUCA